UACGUAGGGGGCAAGCGUUGUCCGGAUUUAUUGGGCGUAAAGAGCUCGUAGGCGGCUUGUUACGUCGUUCGUGAAAACUUGGGGCUCAACUCCAAGCUUGCGGUCGAUACGGGCAGGCUAGAGUUCGGUAGGGGAGACUGGAAUUCCUGGUGUAGCGGUGAAAUGCGCAGAUAUCAGGAGGAACACCGGUGGCGAAGGCGGGUCUCUGGGCCGAUACUGACGCUGAGACGCGAAAGCGUGGGGAGCGAACAGG
rnacentral:rRNA from 1 species